rnacentral:lncRNA from 1 species
CGGGCCCGAGCGGGGAGUGGGCGGUGGGUCGGUGCAGCAGCUCCGCCGCGGCUCCGCCACCAUCGCGGAGGUGCCGCUGUUCCCACAGACGCUCGCGAGCAAGCAACCCUCCGCGCUCUGGAGCCUCCUCAGCCUCCCGCACACCCCGAGACGCUCGCCCCGCUGGGCCUCGGUCCCCGCCUCCUCCCCCGUCCUUUUCCCCUCUCUCGCUCCCCACAUUGUCUCUGCCUCAUUUUCUCUCCUAGUUGAGGAUUAAAAAAAAAAAAAUCACCAUCAUCCUCAGGGAGCCCCCUCGCCCUCGGAAAACAAAACCAGACAUGAUCCUCGGCUCCUGCUUCUGAAAGAUCUGCCCGACCGAGGAGGAGGGAGCCUAGGUUCAAGUCGCGGGAAAGGUCACGGCAGGGAAGCCCCCUCAGCCCCUCCGCGUCGCCUCCCCGCGGGCCGCCCCUCUCGGCCCUGCGCCCCGCGGCCCCGCAGCCUCCGCGCGGCCUCCCGCCCCAUCCCCGCCACUUUCCCCGGAGCUGGGCCGCGAACACCUCUCUAUUGAUGGUGUAGCGCUUUAGGGGAAGGUUCUAGAGUGCAGUGGUGCCUGAUCACGGCUCAUUGCAGCCUCGAUCUUGAGGGUCCAAGUGAUUCUCCCACCUCGGCCUCCCAAAGUGCUGUUACUACAGGUAUGACCCACCACGCCUGGCCUCUGAAGGAGAUUUAUG